UUGGCCCUGAAUCAAGGCCAGCAGUUUGCUGAAGCUGUUGGUUUCAAGCAGGUGCCUAAAGAAUUAUCUUUCUAUGGUCUGUUGGCUAUUUCAG
rfam:Otolemur garnettii contig196313, whole genome shotgun sequence.